CUGUAAUUAGGUCAGUUUAAGUUAAAGUAGGGCUGAGAGAUGAAUAAAGUAGAUUUUCUCCUCUGGAACACACUGCAGUUUAAUUUCACUUCUUUCUACAUUGUGCGAUGAAGGUGGAUUUAACUUUUAAAGGCAAAGAGACAAAUCUCUGCCAGGGUAAAUGAAAAGACUCAGGGAGGGCAACUGGCAAGGAAAUGCUUUUUGGCUGUUUCCUAAUUUUGAUAUCCGGGUCAUAGUCAGAAAUCAUUUUCAGAG
rnacentral:lncRNA from 1 species